GAUGAACGCUAGCGGAAGGCCUAACACAUGCAAGUCGAGCGGUAUUUGGUAGCUUGCUACUAGAGAGAGCGGCGUACGGGUGCGUAACAUGUGUGCAACCUACCCUUAUCAAGGGGAUAGCCAUUCGAAAGGAUGAUUAAUACCCUAUAAUAUAUCAGGUGGCAUCAUUUGAUAUUGAAAGCUACGGUGGAUAAGGAUGGGCACGCACAAGAUUAGCUAGUUGGUAAGGUAACGGCUUACCAAGGCGAUGAUCUUUAGGGGUCCUGAGAGGGAGAUCCCCCACACUGGGACUAAGACAUGGCCCAGACUCCUACGGGAGGCAGCAGUGCGGAAUAUUGGACAAUGGGUGGGAGCCUGAUCCAGCCAUUCCGCGUGCAGGAAGAAGGUCUUAUGGAUUGUUAACUGCUUUUAUAUAGGGAUAAACCUACUCUCGAGAGGGUAGCUGAAGGGACUAUAUGAAUAACCACCGGCUAACUCCGUGGCAGCAGCCGCGGUAAUACGGGGGGGUGCAAGCGUUAUCCCGAACUUAUGGGGUUAAAAGGGUCCGUAGGCGGGUUAUUAAGUCAGUGGUGAAAUCUCAUAGCUCAACUAUGAAACUGCCAUUGAUACUGAUAGUCUUGAGUAUAUUUGAAGUAGCUGGAAUAAGUAGUGUAGCGGUGAAAUGCAUAGAUAUUACUUAGAACACCAAUAGCGAAGGCAGGUUACUAAGAUAUUACUGACGCUGAGGGACGAGAGCGUAGGGAGCGAACAGGAUUAGAUACCCUGGUAGUCUACGCUGUAAACGAUGCUAACUCGUUUUUGGUAUUUAGGUAUCAGAGACUAAGCGAAAGUGAUAAGUUAGCCACCUGGGGAGUACGCUCGCAAGAGUGAAACUCAAAGGAAUUGACGGGGGCCCGCACAAGCGGUGGAUUAUGUGGUUUAAUUCGAUGAUACGCGAGGAACCUUACCGAGACUUAAAUGGGAAUUGACAGCUAUAGAGAUAUGGUUUUCUUCGGACAAUUUUCAAGGUGCUGCAUGGUUGUCGUCAGCUCGUGCCGUGAGGUGUUAGGUUAAGUCCUGCAACGAGCGCAACCCUUGUCACUAGUUGCCAUCAUUAAGUUGGGGACUCUAGUGAGACCGCCUACGCAAGUAGAGAGGAAGGUGGGGAUGACGUCAAAUCAUCACGGCCCUUACGUCUUGGGCCACACACGUAAUACAAUGGGCGAUACAGAGGGCAGCUACACAGCGAUGUGAUGCGAAUCUCGAAAGUCGUUCUCAGUUCGGAUUGGAGUCUGCAACUCGACUCUAUGAAGCUGGAAUCGCUAGUAAUCGCGUAUCAGCCAUGACGCGGUGAAUACGUUCCCGGGCCU
rnacentral:rRNA from 1 species